rnacentral:lncRNA from 1 species
AAUUUGUCAGUGUCUUCCGUUCAUAUUAUAUUCAAAAUUUCUUUACGAUCUAAAGACAAUUAAUAUCCAAAUGAAUGGCUGCAAACUCUUCAACCAACAUUGCUACUUCUACCACGAUGAGAUCGCCCACUGUCAAACAUCCGGCAGAAAAACCAGAUAAAAGUUCAAGGGAGACAACUUCAAGAUAUGGCAACAAAAGAUGAUAUUCUAUCUCACUACGUAGAAUCUUGCUUACAUUUUGAAGGAAGAUUGUGCAAUUACCCACUAGAAGAUGUAACGUGACUCCCGAAAUGGAAGUUGCAAAGCAAGCAUAGAUACAUUUGAACUUCCUGUGCCAUAUGUAUAUACCUAGUGGUCUUCUGAGGACACUUUUUAUAAUGUAUAUUGCAAUGCUUACAAUACAUCAAAAUUAUUGUGGGAGGUACCAGACAAGAAGUAAAAGCUGAAAGAUGCUGGUAUUAAGAAAUUUCUCGUGGAAAAAUUCUUCGAUUGCAAGAUGAUUGCUACGAAAUUGAUGGUCAAUCAAAUGAAAGAAUUGCAAAUUAUCAUCACUUAUUUGCAAAGAUUGCUACAAGUCUUUAAUUGUUUUCAUGUUUAAGUCGAGUUACCUCAUCUAGCUUAUGUUUGAGUCUGAAUAUUAUACAUCGAGCGUAUUUGUUUUCAAUUGAGCUGUAAUCCCUUGCUAGUAUUUCGUUCAUAUUAUAUUGAAUAUUUCUUCCCACACUUAAAAGUGGCAAAUAAA